CUCCCCCAAUUUUUCCUCUCCAAAUAGAACCAAUCAUCCCAAUUGAGCUAGAGAACUAAUCAUGCAUCAUCGUACACAACAUCCAUUCUCAUACUCUUGCACCAUGUCUCAUCGCACCUUUUUUCAUCUCUCUAAGUAACUCUUGGAUCCGUGGUUUGAUUGCGAAGAGGAAUUAGGGCAUUUGAAGCUAGUGAUAAUUAGGACAUUUGAAGGUAGAGGAAGGCAAGAUUGUGGUGGCAGACAAACGGUUAGUCUGCAUUUGGUUUUUGAAAGUUAUUUGCUUUUUGUGCCUAAUUUUUCCAUCUCUUGAUUCAAUUUUCUGUUGAGUUUUCCUUGCAAAAUUAGGUUAGAAAUUUUGGUUUGUAAGGCUAAUACCCUGAUAUUAAGUGGGUUAUUCUAUUUGUCAUGAGUUUGGACUGAUUUCAAGCAUUUAAUGUUAUACUUUUCCAGCCAAAAACGCGAAAUCUAAUAAUAUUUGCUAUGUGUUUGCUGUUUUGCCAGAAAGAAAUUUUCAAAAUAUAGCUGCCCCAUUUGAAUAGCUGUUUAACUAGUUUUAAUACUGCUGGUUGAACUUGAGUGGGUUAUUCUGUUUGUCAUGAGUUUGGACUGAUUUCAAGCUUUUAGUGUAAUACUUUUCUAGCCAAAAAUGUGAAGUCUAAUAAUAUUUGCUAUGUGUUUGCUGUUUUGCUAGAAAGAAACUUUCAAAAUAUAGCUGCCCCAUUUGAAUAGCUGUUUGGACUAGUUUUAAUGCUGCUGGUUGAACUUGAAGAUGCUUAAAUUAUGUGCUCCUAAACAAGGCAACUUUGGGCAAUACUUGAGUGGUUGGCAAUUACCAAGUUCUUGGAUUCGGAUUCGGAUUGUGAUAAGAAACCAAAUAGAGUUUAAGAAACUUAUUAGUCUAGUUUAAGCAUCUUAUUUUCAGCUUUGUUCAUUCUUCAUUUGAUGGCUCUUGAAAUUUGGUUUAUUUGUUCUUCCUUGUAAUUGGAUUUUGGGAUUUUGUUAGGAAGAUAGAGAGUCAUCAAGAGACUAAUAAAGUGCCGUAACAUACUUAAGAAAGAGAAAGAAUUAUUUUGCAAAAUUUUGAAAAAGGUUAAAGUUCCUAAUGGUUAUUCAAUCACAAUUUCAAAGUCUGUGCACUUGAAACCUCCUAAACUAUCCAGACUUAAGAGCCAUGACAAUCACAUUUUAAUGUAACGACUGUUACCAUAAUGCUACCAAAAACUUCUUCCAAAAUCGGUGUGGUCUCCCUUGAUAAAGUUGUCCAACUACUUUAGAAAUUUGUGUUCUAAAACAUUUUGUCCUAGGGAACUUGUUCAAAUGGAAAGUGAAAUUACUAUUGUGCUAUGCCAGUUGGAGCGUGUGUUUCUACCAUUUUUAUUUGUUGUAAUGGUUCAUUUGACCAUUCAUUUAGCAACUGAGGCAAGGAUAAUUGGUCUAGUAUACUAUCGUUGGAUGUAUCCAAUUGAAAGAUAAUUAUCAUAAGUUUAAAAUUUCAUCUUUUUUUUUCUUAAUGUGAUUAGUCUUAUUAUAACAUAGUAUUUUGUAAUUAUCUCAGGUACCUAUGCACCUUGAAGAAUUAUGUUCGAAAUAGAAGUCGGACUGAUGAUUUGAUUGCAAAAGAGUACCUAAUUGAUGAGUGUAAACCACUGAAAUUUGGGUUGGUUUGUAGUAUUAUGUAAUGAAUUUCUGUUUAGGAGUUGCUCUCUUUGUAAGGCCUGGUGCAACCCAAUGAGUACAAACAAUUUCACAAUGAUGCACAAAGAUAUAUCAAAUUUAAGCACAAUAAAGAAAACUUAAUUAAAGAGAAAAGAUAAGAAAUGCAAACCAAAUAUUAAUCCAAUAGCCUCUUCAAUAGAUGGCGAUGCUAACCAAGAUGUACAAGUGAAGGCUCAUUUCUUCCUCACCCCAAACACUCUUUGGUUGAGCCAAGGAGUUUUACAACUAUUCUAGUUAACCCUCAACAACCUACACUUGAAAGAUCACUCACCCAAUUAAGAACUAUUUUAUACAAAUGAGGCAACCUUCACCAAGGUUUUACCACUUCAAGUGAUAGGUUCACCUUCACCAAGAUUUUACUCCUCCUAGAGAGUAACCUUCACUUGAGCAACCUCACAACCCAACUUUCCCAACCCCUUAUACAACCAACAAAGAAUCUUUCUACUCAAAAAUCUCACUUGUAAGCUUGUAUUUUGUGUUGGCAAAAGUCCCUUGUCUUCUUGUGCUUUGGGGUGUUUAUAGAAGGUGAGAAAUGGCUCCAAAAGGCUCUCCAACGGUCAAAUAUUAAAUGCUGUCAAAACUAGCCGUUGGCCUGUCGGACGUCCAAACCCUGCGUCCAAACCACCUGUCGGACGUCCGAACCCUGCGUCCGAACGUCGUCAAAGAGUCAUCAAAUCUUUGCGAAAUUUUUCGUACGUCCGAUACGAUUGAUGUGCGUCCGAGGCGUGCGUCCGAUCCUUCCGGACGUCCGAUGCUUCCUCACGAGCGUCCGACAGAGUUUCCUUCUUGAUGUUCUUCAUCCUUUCGGACGUCCGAUAGCUUCCUUUCGGACGUCCGACAUGAUUGCCCUGUUUUUGCUUCUUCUUUUGUGCCACAAGAAUCUGUUCUAACAAAUUGCUCACAUAAAAACAUUAGUCCAAAUCUACAUUUUGGUUUGUUAAUCAUCAAAACCAAGGAUUGAUCGACCAAGGUCAACACUCUUAUGUAUGAUUUUCACAAACUUUAUAAAAUUAAUAUUUUCAAGGUUGGGGAUGAUGUUACAAUAAGGAGCAUGAUUGAUCCAAACAAAAUUUUGGCUGUUGGAGAGGUUAGAAGUUUGGAUCUUACGGCUAAAGUUGGUGACACACCUUUGGGGUCACGUUGGUGUGAAGUUCAUGUGAAUGUGCCCGUGGAGAGUAAUGAGGAGUUGAUGAGGCCAUACCAUAAUUUCCGAAAAUUAGAGAUGCAAUUGGAGUAGCUAUUGUUUGGCCAAUAAAUCUAGUACUCUUUUUGUCAUACCUUUACCAUUUGUCUAAUAUAGUUAUUAUUUGUAUUCUAAUGUUAAAACUGUAAAAUAAGACGUGUGUGAAUUGUAAUUUGUCUUGUUUGGUUUACGACACUUGUAGGUGAGUAUUGAAGAAAACUAAAGCAACAUUGGGUC
rnacentral:lncRNA from 1 species